ensembl:snoRNA SNORA75 Small nucleolar RNA SNORA75
CUCUUCUCAUGAGCACCUCCCUGUCAAACAGUGACGGCAAAUGGAUUCGCAUGAGAAGUAGAGAAAACUCGCAGUUUAUACAGGCAGCUACCUUGGUGGGAGUUGCCCAUGUCUGCUGUGAAACAGUU